UCGCGGGACCUGGUUAGAAAAGCCUUUGUAUAAAAGGUAUCAUUUUAGAAAAUCAAAGUAGCCGCGAAAUGUGCCAUUUUCUUUUAGAAAUAGCCUGGCCCACGUGACGUACAGACCCGUCAUAAAUACAAAAUUUCUAGAUCUGUCCACACGAACGGAGUCUCCUCUAUAUUUGCACGGUGUACCAUGCUUGUAUAACAAGUUACACAACGACAACUCACAACCCACAUUCUUGAUAAUCCAAAAGCAGUCAUUUUUAAAGAUGACUAGCCGUAUAGACAAAUGCAUAUGAGUGAAAAACUAUUUGUGGAUUAUCAUAACUAUGGGUUGUGAGUUGUCAUUGUGUAACUUGUUGUACAAGAAAGGUACGCGGUGUAAAUAUAGAAAAAACUUUAUUCACGUGAACAGAAAAAUUUUAUAUUUGCGGAACGUCUGUACAUCGCGUGUGUCAGACUGUUUCAAAAAAAAAUAUAAAGGUUG
rnacentral:lncRNA from 1 species